ACCUGCGCGGCCAUUUCCCGGUCACUCAAACCGCCACAAAUCUGGAUAAUUCGGUCCGACAGAGUCGACUUACCGUGGUCGAUAUGGGCGAUGAUAGAAAAGUUGCGUAUGUUCUUCAUAUGUGGAGAUUUAUGCCUUUCAAAUCCUGGGAGGCUCCGCGCUAUGCGCAGUAUAAGCCUGCUAUCUUUAUGGCCGACUGGUGCCUGAAACGCUGCAUUCUACACUACAACCAGAAAGCGAGGAAAUGCUCAUGCACUCCAGCAUCAAGGUUGCUUCAUUUAUUGAGAGGCAGCAGCGGGCACCCGUUGUGUUUGGGAGGGAUUACCUGGGGGUGGCAGGGGAUGAAUCAACAGUACGCCAGGCGUCUGGUGGCAACCCAAUGCUCAAAAUAACCGGGUGCAUUGAAGCGCGUGCACUCAGGCGGGAGGCGCCCCAGCGCGCAACAUAAAACCCCAGCAGGCCACCAGCCAGUGCACCAAUGCCUGUCCAGAGGUUGCUGGCAAAAACACCCUGGCAGAUACCGGCCACCAUAAACAGGCCAAUCAGUGGCACCAUAUAAACCAGUAAAGCAGAGCCCAGCAAACUGCUUUCAGCAAUACCCAGUUCCACUUUUUGCCCGGCGCUGAGUGGCUCUGUCGAGUGAACCGAAAUUUGGUGUACCGUUUCUGGCCCAAGUUUGUUUAAUACCCGGCUACCACAACCUUUGCGCGAUGAACACUGGCUACAGCCACUUUGCACAUCGCACUGCACUGUCGCAGUGCCAUCUUGCCAGGAUAUUACGGUUGCCCACUCUUUAAUCAUUGUGUAGCCCUGAAUUUUACGCUGUCUGCAAUACGU
rnacentral:ncRNA from 1 species